AAAUAGGAUGUGUUGUUGUCUAAUUAAUUUAUUUAAAUAAUAUUUUGCAUGUAAAUUUUUGUAAGGUUUUUUUUUCUAAAUGAUUAAUUAUAAAUUUUCAGUGUUUAAUUUUUUUUUUUUUAUUAAUUUAAUUUAAGUAAUUUUUAAAAAGACAGAAUAAUUUUGUGCCAGCAUUCGCGGUUAUACAUUAUGUUUAAGUAAAUUUUUUUUUCGGAUUAUUAGUAUUUUUAUUUAAAAUUUUUUUAUUUAGGUGAAAUUUAUAAUAAAUAAUUUUUUUUUUCUAUGAAGUCUUUUUAAUAAACCAGGAUUAGAUACCCUGUUAUUUUAGAAUAAUUUUUUUUUCCGGUUAGUAAAUUUUUGUAUUUAAAUUUAAUAGAUCUGGCGGUUUUUAAAUCUUUUUAGAGGAACCUGAAUUUUAAAUGAUGAUCCACGAUAGUCCUUACCUUAAUUUUCUUGUAUAUCUCUGUCGUUGAAUGUAUUGAUAAAUUAUUUUCUUUUUUUUUAUUAGAUAUAUGUUAGGUCAAGGUGCAGUUAUAUUAAGGUUAAUUUGGGUUACAAAAAUUUUUGUUUUUGGAUUUAAUUAAUAAUUUUUUUUUUGAAGUUGGAUUUAAUAGUAAUUUUUUUUUUUUAAUAUUAUGAAUAUUGCUCUUAAAAAUGUACAUAUCGCCCGUCAUUCCCACAUAGUGGGACAAGUCGUAACAAAGUAGAUGUAUCGGAAGAUGUAUCUAGAAU
rnacentral:ncRNA from 1 species